GCCUCUGGGGCCCCUCAGCAUUUGUCCCUGUGUCCUACCCCCACCAGCUUCUCCAUAGGGAACAUGACCUAUCUAAGCUGUGCUAUUGUGACACAGUAAGAAGGAUGUACUUGGUCUUCCUUCUCCUGCACAGCUCUUAACACCUCUGUAAUGGCCUGAGUAAUGGGAGUCAUAGAAGCACCUCUUCCUAGGUUUUGUUCCCAGAUCCUAAAAAAGUUCUGGAAAGAUCCUGGUCCCAUCCUUACACACUAUAUCAAACCUCACUGCAUAUCGUCUCUCUCCUCUGAUGCUGUGAGCCCUGAGAAGGCAAGACUCUGUUGGGGCCUGAAACAGAACCAUCUGGCAAACUGUGGAAUUCACUCUUUUGUAUAUAUCAGCUGG